GGAAUUUUCCGCAAUGGGCGAAAGCCUGACGGAGUAACGCCGCGUGAGGGAUGAAGGCCUCUGGGCUGUAAACCUCUUUUAUCAAGGAAGAAGAUCUGACGGUACUUGAUGAAUAAGCCACGGCUAAUUCCGUGCCAGCAGCCGCGGUAAUACGGGAGUGGCAAGCGUUAUCCGGAAUUAUUGGGCGUAAAGCGUCCGCAGGCGGCCCUUCAAGUCUGCUGUUAAAAAGUGGAGCUUAACUCCAUCAUGGCAGUGGAAACUGUUGGGCUUGAGUGUGGUAGGGGCAGAGGGAAUUCCCAGUGUAGCGGUGAAAUGCGUAGAUAUCGGGAAGAACACCAGUGGCGAAGGCGCUCUGCUGGGCCAUCACUGACGCUCAUGGACGAAAGCCAGGGGAGCGAAAGGGAUUAGAUACCCCUGUAGUC
rnacentral:rRNA from 1 species